rnacentral:rRNA from 1 species
GUGAGGAAUUUUCCGCAAUGGGCGAAAGCCUGACGGAGCAAUGUCGCGUGAAGGAUGAAGGCCUAUGGGUUGUAAACUUCUUUUCUCAGAAAAGAAUUAUGACGGUAUCUGAGGAAUAAGCAUCGGCUAACUCUGUGCCAGCAGCCGCGGUAAGACAGAGGAUGCAAGCGUUAUCCGGAAUGAUUGGGCGUAAAGCGUCUGUAGGUUGUUUAAAAAGUAUUCUGUCAAAGAUUAGGGCUUAACCCUAGAUAGGCAGAAUAAACUUUUAAGCUAGAGUUUGGUAGAGGCAGAGGGAAUUCCCGGUGGAGCGGUGAAAUGCGUAGAUAUCGGGAGGAACACCAAAGGCGAAGGCACUCUGCUGGGCCAAUACUAACACUGAGAGACGAAAGCGAGGGGAGCAAAUGGGAUUAGAAACCCCGGUAGUCC